UACAGAGGGGGCAAGCGUUGUUCGGAAUUACUGGGCGUAAAGGGCGCGUAGGCGGCCCGCUAAGUCGAACGUGAAAUCUCCCGGCUCAACUGGGAGGGUGCGCCGGAUACUGAGGGGCUAGAGUGUGGGAGAGGAAAGUGGAAUUCCUGGUGUAGCGGUGAAAUGCGUAGAUAUCAGGAGGAACACCGGUGGUGUAAACGGCUUUCUGGACCAUAACUGACGCUGAGGCACGAAAGCGUGGGUAGCAAACAGG
rnacentral:rRNA from 1 species